AGCUGUGAAGAGGAAAUCGGAGGCCGGCCCAGAGUGACUCCGAGUGCACUCCGAUCCGGCCUACCGGGGGAUCGGUUAUCCGGUCCCUUCGCCUGGCGGGUUCCAAACGGAACCCGUGAAGAGGGAAAAACCACUCUUCGGCCAUCUCGACCUCCAGGACACUCAUGGUGGACACUACCUCACUAGGCAAAGAACCCAUUGCAAGAGAGGGAAAUCAAAAAGAAGGGGGACCUGGGAAAG
rnacentral:lncRNA from 1 species